GUUCUCUAAGUUUCAGUCAGGCAUCAGGAAACGACACAGUCAGAUCUGCUUUGUGGUGAGAGUUUUAUUCUGAGUGUUAUUAGCGUGGUGUGAACAUGAGCCCAUCUCUUGGAAAAAUUCAUACUGGCCCAAGUUGUCUGUUCCUGACUAGUGGAAGGCUGGUUUCUUCUUCUUGUGAAUCCCCUUCCCAAAUGGUUGAAGAACCUGAGGGUUACAGAGUCCUAAGGCGGGGGUGGGCAGGGGGUUUAGUAGCAAAGCCAAAGCUGAAUCAGCCCACUGUGCCCACAGCUCCACGGAGCUUCACAGUGUCCCUGUCAGUCACCUCUAAGUGCUCCAGAGACCUUCUAUGAUUUGAAAAAGGAUGGCCCUUGAGGUAGACAGGGCUCUGUGGCCUCCCGUAGGCACGUGAAACCCGGACUAGACUUUGCCCUCACUUGCUUCUUUGAGCUAAAGUCCCUGCCCCAUGGCAGUGUUGGCCCUGGUGUAGCAGGACACCUGCUCCCACACUUUCUGACUUGGGGGGGUGCUGGUCUCAUGUCCCUGGUAGUUAUCAUGGGUCUCUGAGGGGGAUCGGCUCCCUUACUUGGGCUCCCAGGUCAUGGCUCUUACAUGUCACCUCUCAGCUCUUUUGUUGCCAUCUCAGGAGGCGAAAGCCCCUCAGGGGACGCCCACCUGGUCUCUGCCUCCUCCCUGAGGACCUCACACUCCACCCUCAGAACAGAGGGUUUGAGUUCUCACUCUGCAGAGCUGGGAGAGAGACCCUCCUCAUAAGGCCCUGAAUGCCUACAGGGAGGCUCACAGCCUCCAGGAUCCUAGCGUCCCUCGGGUGACUCACCCUCCUGAAGUCAGCACAAAGAACUUUCUAGAGCAUGCUGUGAUGGAGAAAACAAAAACAAAAACAAAAACAGUGCAAGUAAAAGUCCCCUGGAGAUUCUCGACACACGCUGGUGGAGUGUUGUAUUACGACCUGUUCUCUUUUUGGUCUCCACUUAACACUACUCAUCAGAUUGCAUGUGAAAUAGGCUGGUGGCCUCAGCAAGAACUGCAGAGGGUCAGGACUUUCAGGAAACUCACUGAGCCUUUUUUGGACCCUUGGCUCUGGCUUCACUUGCAAAUGAAAUUCUGGGUGCUGACUCACCCUCUGAAUGUCACUCUGGUAGCCGAAACCCUCAGCUGGCCUCCCUUGUGACUUGGAGGAACAGAUGCUGAGAAGCAGGGGCCCAGGCUGGGCUCAGGGGCUGGACUGCUGACCUGGAAGCCAGGCCUUUCGCGCGUGACCAUUUUCUUCCCAUUUGAACUCAGCAGUUGUGGGGUCAGAAGUCCUCGUGCUAGAAUCCACGCAGCUGCGGGACACAGGGUGGACUACAAUGAACAAUGAAGGUUUCCUUUCUUUAUUUCGAAUUCUGAAAAGGCUGACCAAUGUCUUUAAAAUUAUCCCAGCUCACGGAAAUCAGGUCAAGGAUUAAGGGAAAACGCCAGCAAACAAAAAUCAAUAAAUCAUUAACGUAAGGAACACGCCUUCCAGGCCCGUUGGCUGGCUGAUUUGCCAAGAGACAGAAGGGUCAGUGACUUCUCAGAAGUGACAUCAUAACCAUGAUGUCCCUAAGAGUGAAUGCAUUAAUUUCGCGUGUGCUGCUCAUGAAGGGCUGAGAGCGAUGCUAUGUCGCCCCCUAGUGGUAAGUGCAAGUUAUGCACAAAUGGGCUCCGCGAUUGCCUUGGCAGCCUCCAGAUGAGGUGAGGCCUUUAGAUGAAAACUGACCUCAACAAAUGACGCAUGACAGGUAUUAAAAUAGAACUACUCCAAAACCUUCCCUGCCUUCUGUUUUAGUUUUUAAAAUUUUCGUCUUGAAAUUUUAUUAAAAUGUAUUUGAAAGGAAAACUAGUAACAAUGUAUACCGGCUGUACUACACAAGUGGAAGUCCAAUUAUUGACAAGCUUAGCACAAAGGACAGGGUAUGGAGAUUGAAUUAUAUUGUCAUGAGCAUUCAUUAUACAUUUCGGAAAAGCAUAUCUAAGUGGGAAUGUCUAAAAAAUAUUACUAUUAGGAAAUAUACCUUUUAAUUUUGUCUUAUUUUGUUUUCCCCCAGCUUUAAUUAACAUAUAAUUAAAAAAUUAAAAUUGUAUAUAUUUAUGGUGUUCAAUCUGAUCUUUCGAUACAUGUGCACAUUGUAAAUUGAUUAAAUCAAGGUAAUUAACAUUCACCAUCUCACAUACUUUUAAAAUGUGAGAACAUGUACAGUCUAGCCUCUUAGCUAUUUGUAUGUGUACAGUGGUGUUGACCCUUGGUGUCCACAGGUUCCACAUCCAUGGAUUCAAGCAACUGAGGACUGAGGAGGCA
rnacentral:lncRNA from 1 species